rnacentral:tRNA from 1 species
GGGGACGUAGCUCAGUUGGGAGAGUGUCGCGUUCGCAAUGCGAAGGUCGGGGGUUCGAAUCCUCUCGUCUCCACCA